rnacentral:rRNA from 1 species
CGAAGUCAAGAGGAGCUUGCUCUUUUUGACUUAGUGGCGGACGGGUGAGUAACGCGUGAGGAACCUGCCUCAAAGAGGGGGACAACAGUUGGAAACGACUGCUAAUACCGCAUAAGCCCACAGCUCCGCAUGGAGCAGAGGGAAAAGGAGCAAUCCGCUUUGAGAUGGCCUCGCGUCCGAUUAGCUAGUUGGUGAGGUAACGGCCCACCAAGGCGACGAUCGGUAGCCGGACUGAGAGGUUGAUCGGCCACAUUGGGACUGAGACACGGCCCAGACUCCUACGGGAGGCAGCAGUGGGGAAUAUUGCACAAUGGGGGAAACCCUGAUGCAGCGACGCCGCGUGGAGGAAGAAGGUCUUCGGAUUGUAAACUCCUGUUGUUGGGGAAGAUAAUGACGGUACCCAACAAGGAAGUGACGGCUAACUACGUGCCAGCAGCCGCGGUAAAACGUAGGUCACAAGCGUUGUCCGG